CAGGGUGUAAAGCGAAGGUCUGGAUUCAUCCCCCAGAACAUCACACUGACGGUGGCAGGAAACGGCCAACCAGGACAGGAAGAAAACAACAGCGGACUUCAUGGAGCUGGAUGCCAGCAUGGUGACAACGGACAGACAAUCUGGAAGCUCUUUCAGAUUACCUCUUUGCUGGUGAGCCUCAUGAACACAUCUCCCAUGAUGCCUUGCCACUGACACCUGAGCACGCGCUCCUGCAGAGUAUGAAGGAGCUCCAGGUGCUGCUGGAUCAGAAACCUUAAGGAGCUGGGGAAAGGACUGCAAGCAGAAGGGAAAAACACGGGGAAUAUUUCAAAGAAUAACAGUUUUCUUGAAAUGUGAUCAUUCAGAAAUACGUGAGGUUAAAGUCAUUUAGAAAAUCUGGCGUGGCCCAGACAUCCGUCUUCAUCGACGUCCAGGAGCUCCUUACAGACCGAGGCGGGAACAGGCUUUCUUUUCAGCAGCUCGCGCGACAAACAGCAACAGGUUAAGCAGGUCAAAGCGAAAGCAGCAGUUUUUAAACACAAUUUGUCCAAAUCCAGCAGUGACUGCAUUUCAUUGGGUCUUCUCCUCAUUGGUAGCACGUGUGUGCUGCAGCAAUUACAAUAACGAGCUCUGUCUCGGUAGUGUUUAUGACCUUCUUUUAUUUGAUUUAUUUAUUUCCUGUUGUUCCAUCACCGUAAGCCUUUAAAUUAGCUCAGAGGGCCAGUUUGGGAAUGUGAUGUUUGAAAUGUGGCUGGACUGAAGCGUCUGUCAACAAAACAUGGCUUUUAUUUUGUUAAAUGUUAGAUUCAGCCUCUUUAUUUGGAGUGUGCUACCGUUUGUCCUUCGUAGUCGGAGCUUCGGAUCCGUUGAAGGAGAUGUUGGCCUUCAGUAGCAGAGACAGAUGGGACACGUAGAUUCUCUCCGACUCCAGCAGCUCCAGCGCGGCCCGUUGUCGCUUAUCUGCACGUAUAAAAACACAACAUCCAACACAAACUGUUUAGUCACUUUUACUCUGUAACCUCGAGGGCUUGUUCCGUUUCAGAACGAUGCUACUCAAGAUUCCCAAGAAAGAAGUCUAAAAAUACCAAAUACAUGGUGAAAUUAUUUGAAAGAAUCUCCCCAUUUUGGUGAAAAAAAAAAAUGUAUUUAAAAUGACUCAAUAGCAGCAGCAACUUUCAUUAAGUUUGGAUUUAAUGACAUAUACUUUACUUACUUUUACACUGAUGUUAGUUACAAACAAAUCCGCUUGGUUCUUAGAUGAUUAUUUAGUUUAUCACUACCUUUUUAGUUAAUUUAAUCACUAAUUGUACACAUUACCAAAUUGUAAAAUUGUUUCAUUAU